rnacentral:snRNA from 1 species
GGAUAUGAGGGCUGUCUGGAUACAAAAUCUGAUUACAUUGUUCAUUAGGAUUGAUUGGCUGAUCUGGCUGCCUCUCUCAUUGGUCCAUUUGCAUCCCUCCUGAAGCUACGUGCUUGGUCACAGAGCAUGACUUCCUGAUAGAAGAGGCCCACCCUUUGGUCAGUUGUGUAUGUGUAGCUGAGCUCCCCUGCUAGAACUUCUCCCUUGCUAAGAAAUUCUCAAUCAAAGUGUUUUGAGAUGUCAGGAGGUGAGAAACACCUUACCUAUAAAUAUCAGAAAUAGCAGUUACAUAUAUUUUC